AAAAGAAGAGAGAUCAGGGAUCAAACAAGAGCCUCAGGAAUCAAGAGCAAACUAAUACAAGGGCUGUGACUUUUGUCCUCUGAAUUGGACUGACAAGAGAGCUGAAGGGAAGGGAGGAGUCACGCUCACCAAGAAUUCCCCUCCCAACUCUAUGGUCAUCCAUUUACCCCCUUUUUGUGUUAAUAGACCAACGCCC